CUAACAAGAUUCCCCUAGUAACGGCGAGUGAAGCGGGAAGAGCUCAAAUUUGAAAUCUGGCGGCCUUUGGUCGUCCGAGUUGUAGUCUGGAGAAGCGUCUUCCGCGCCGGACCGUGUACAAGUCCCUUGGAACGGGGCGUCAUAGAGGGUGAGAAUCCCGUCUUUGACACGGACCGCCGGUGCUUUGUGAUGCGCUCUCAAAGAGUCGAGUUGUUUGGGAAUGCAGCUCAAAACGGGUGGUAAAUUCCAUCUAAAGCUAAAUAUUGGCGAAAGACCGAUAGCGAACAAGUACCGUGAGGGAAAGAUGAAAAGCACUUUGGAAAGAGAGUUAAACAGUACGUGAAAUUGUUGAAAGGGAAACGCUUGAAGUCAGUCGCGUCUCUCGGGACUCAGCCUUGCUUUUGCCUGGCGUACUUCCUGGGGUGACGGGCCAGCAUCGAUUUUGACCGUCGGAGAAAGGCCUUGGGAAUGUGGCACCUCCGGGUGUGUUAUAGCCCUGGGUCGCAUGCGACGGUUGGGAUCGAGGACCGCAGCACGCCUUUUUGGCCGGGGUUCGCCCACGUAACGUGCUUAGGAUGCUGGCGUAAUGGCUUUAAGCGACCCGUCUU
rnacentral:rRNA from 1 species